AUGGAUAUUGCCAUCUUUAAUUGGAACGUGAGAGGCUUGGGUUGCCCUGCCAAGCGAAGAGCGGUUGCAAAAUUGAUUGCUGAGAAGCGCUGCAACAUUGUUUGUUUGCAAGAAAUCAAAGUUCAGCUGAUUGACAGGGCCUUUGUUACUGAAGCUGCUGGUAUCAAAUUCUGUGAUAAUUUCAUCUGCUUACCUGCUACAGGCUCGAGGGGUGGAAUUUUGAUUGCUUGUUCAGAUGAUUUUACCAUCUCUAGAGAGCUGGCUGCUCAAGGUGUUCAUUCCAUCACUGGGACGAUAACUGACAAAUCCAGCAAUCUGUCCUGGUCAAUUACCUCCGUUUAUGGUCCCCAGCUUGAUUCUGACAAGAUUGUGUUCCUCCAAGAAAUUCGGGAUCUUGAGCCACACGUCAAGAAGGAGUGGCUGAUUAUUGGUGAUUUUAAUUUGAUUGCAAGGGCUGCUGACAAGAGUAAUAACCUCAUUAAUCUCCCAAUGCUUGGCCGGUUCAGAAGCUUGAUUGACUCCUUGCAGCUUCGGGAAAUGCCUCUGUUCGGAAGACGCUUUACUUGGUCCAAUGAAAGAGAACAAACUACUCUCGCCAGGAUAGACAAGCUGCUCUUCAUUGUCGACUGGGAAACUAUGUUCCCUCAGUACCACCUGUCUCCUGCUUCAACGGCUAUCUCUGACCACUGCCCGCUUAUCAUGAAGAAGAUGGAGCUUAAAAGAUGCAAGCCUUUCAGAUUUGAGUCCUUCUGGCUGGGGCUGCAGGGCCUGGAUGAAAUUGUUGCUGACGCUUGGAGAAAACCUUUGCAUUCCUCAGACCCAAUUAGAAACUUCCAAUGCUAA
rnacentral:rRNA from 1 species